CUGCUGAUUCGCAUUAUGUAGAAGUCUUAGAUUUGGUAAAGCAUUGUAACAAUGUAGGAAGGCAUCUACAUCUUUAAACUCUGGACUGCAAUUGCUUUUCUUUUUUUUCCUAUAAAAUUGCAUGAAGGCUAACUAGAGAGGCUUCCUAUCAUAAAAUCCCAAAAUCUUGACAUGUGAACACUGUCUAGGUCAUUCACUUACAAAUAUUGCCCUUUAAAAGUACAUAUUUCUAAUUGUUUCAUAUUUUGUGAACUGAACUUACACACAUCUGAUCUUUUAAAUUAUUCAUGGAAACAUCAGAUAUGAUAGGAAGACAAACCUGAGUUACAUUUGAAGUACAACAGUAUAACUUGCUAAAUCCUUCAUUAAUAAAGAAAACCUCUCUGAAAAGCCUUCCCAAGCUUUUCCCUGUUUGUUUUUUUUUUUAAACAACAAAUUCUGAAACAUGUGCAAUUUUAUUUUGACAUGAGUAUACUUCAAAGCACUGUGAUCUUGUCUGAAAGGUGUAGGAAUUUCUGCACAAUCAUUACAGUAACCUUAAGACUCUUUUCCACCCUGCUGUAAAGGUCAGAAAAAAGCUGCAAACCAGGAGGGAAAAUAGCAUAUCACCAGAGUGAUGCGUCUGAAGCUUUUCAGAAUAUGAUGUUUCUCCCUCCUUCCAAGUGUCUGUUUCCAUUUUCUUCUAACAGCUCACAAACGUAGUCAGUUUUAUACCAAGUUAAAGAGUCACAUCGGCUUAGUACUAGUCUUUCUAUGCAGUAUUCGACUUGCUCAGUUCCUGCCUGAUAGCAUCAAUGAGUUCUUCCUUUAAUUUCGUUAACUCCUUUCUCAUUUCAUCUAAAAUAUCCUGCUUCAAUCUGUCAUAAUCUAGACCUUCUGACUGUACUCCAUUGGCACUGGGUUGCCCCGUUGUUGUAGAUUUUGGUCUGGAUAUAACAGGCGACUUGCUUCCAUUUACUGUAUUUGUUCUUUCCCAAGGCUUUCUUGUUAAUUCAGGUGUACUUGUUGAAGAAGCCUUAGAGGUUGAAGACUCUGCUUCUUCAGUUUUAUCUUCUUUCUGCUCUGGUUCUGUUGAUCCCUUUUCAGCAAUUCUUCUCCUCCUGGCCAGCAGGGCACUCAUUUCUUCCAUUAAGCCACUGCUACUGAGGCCUGGGCUGGGCCCGGGGGCAGCGGGGGUGGGGGAGGAGGUGCAGGUGGUCCUUGGACAACACCCUGCUGGGUCGUAGGUUCAAUCGGCUGAGAGGCUGCCUGCAAGACUGGCUCAGAAGCAGAGGAGUCUCCCAGCACAGAGUUUAGAGAGUUCUCAACAGAGGCAGGGGUAGCAGCAUUUGAAAUUCUUCUCUCUCUUUCCCAUUCCAAUUGUUCCCUUUCCAACUGUUCUUGUCGUUCUCUCUCUUGCCUUUCCCGUUCAAGUCGUUCAAGUCUUUCUCGGUCCUGCCUCUCCUUUUCCUGUCUCUCCCUUUCUAGGCGCUCUUGUCGUUCCCUUUCUUGGCGUUCUCUCUCCAGUUGUUCCUGUUCUAGGCGCUCUCUUUCAAGUCUUUCCCUUUCUAGCCUCUCUCUCUCCAGCCUCUCCCGUUCCAUUCGUUCACGAUCCAGCCUCUCCCGUUCCAGCUCCUUCUGCCUUUGUUGCUCUUGCAACUGUCUUCUCUGGAUGUCCAACUCUUCUUGUGAUGGACCAUUUUGUACUUGAGCGGGAAGCUGUGAAUUCUGUCGAGGCAAUGUAGGACCAGCUUCCUGUGAAUUUAAUACUUCUAAGGCAUGCAUCAUGGCACUUGCGAAGACAUUGGCAUCUUCUUUGCUGCCAAAAUUCAGACCAUACACUUGUCUAGCAUCACGCCAUUGAUGGAAGGUCUGUGUAGCCUGAUUGUACUUGAGCCCUUUUGGAAUGGCACAGUUUAUUACCACCUGAUGAUCUUGAAUCUUCCUGCCCACGACUCUGAAUGUGUUGUUGCCUGUGUGAUGAUAUAUGUGAACUCUGCUGAAUCCAGUUGAUCCACCAGCUGGUACCCAUUUCUUAUUGGCAUCAUCAUAGACCAUUACAGCAGCUCGUGCUUGGCAGAUACUCUGUUCACUCAUGGUGCCGCCCGGCGCCGGGAGCCGCUCCCGCUGCCUCGCUCAGCUCCGCGCUCUCCCCCGCCCCGCCGCUCUCUCCCCGCUCCGCUCCGCUCCGCUCGCCGCCGCUCCGCAGGGGACGGCGCCUCAACGGACAGCGAGAGCUCCGGCAGCCGGCGCCUCCCGCCCGCCCGUCUCCGCCGCUCCCUCCGCCGCCGGGCCGGGCCAGACCACCGCGGGGCGCCGGGGGUGGGAGGGGACGGAGAGGACGCUCCGGACCGACUGUGGAUCUUCAGAAUCUGACGAGUCAGGAAUUUUCUAAGGUCUGUGGUUACUGUAUCACCAGAAUGCCCUCCAAGUAAAAGGUUCCAAAAGUAAGCCCUUCUGACAGUGAAAGAUAACUUGAAGCAGCCAAAUAUAAAUGUGAAGAUCUACAUCCAACCGAUACAUCUAAGCAUCUAUGUAGAUAUAUGCCAGAUCCAUAUCCAGCUGGCUGUGGGAGAUACAUCAGUAGAAACAAUGGCAGAGAUGUUGGGAAGAAAAGGAGUCUGUUCUGAGAUCCCAAUUGCUCUACAGUAGAAAAUAUCAGGAUGGUAAUGCAACUGUUGUGAUGUGACUGUUUGGUCACAUUAGUCACAUCUAAAGGCACUUUGGCUGUGACAGGUGUAUAAAAAACACUGGACGGAUGCCUCAGCAACAAGUCUGCGUGAGAGGGAAUGAAAAGAGCCAGAAGCUGUUACCCCCGGAAACCAAUAAAAGAAAAACCCAACAAAAACCUGUUAGCAUUAUUUGUAUUGUAUUGCGUGGUGUUCUUAGCCAAAUCAGAUGUGGUCAUGGCUGGAUUUCUCAAGACAUGCAGUGUAGUACAACAGAAUUUGUAAAAAUGCCAGAAGAAACAUUCUGCAUGCCGGCAUCACCGAUGUCACCAAGUGCAAAGUCAUGCUGCGUGCUAGCUUAGUCAGAAAUCCCAUUGAAUUAAUCUAUGGCAGAAUGUUCAAUCUGCAGAAGCUCAUAUUAGCAGUUAUAUGAGAAGGAGGGGAACCAAAAUUAUAUAGGGCAGAAAUCAAUUAUAAAUGUUGAGCGUCUUUUUGUUUCCAGGCCCAUUUAGCAAUGUUAUUGUCAAGAAAUUAAAGCAGUUUAGCAGAAGGAUGAGUUAGCG
rnacentral:lncRNA from 1 species